rnacentral:tRNA from 1 species
GGUUGUGGCUCAGUGGUAGAGCACUCACCUAGCACAUGUGAGGCCCUGGGUUAAAUCCUCAGAACCA